rnacentral:antisense_RNA from 1 species
CUUUAUGGCGGCUGUGUGCGGGCAGACUUCGGUCUGGCCGGUUUUCUGCUCACCGGUUUCUCACUCCGCACAUAGCUGCCACCCUU